GUAAAGUUUUAUUUUGGCUUAAAGAUUUAUUUAUAAUUUAUUUUACAUGUAAAUUUUUGUGGGGAUUGAUUAUUAAUUAAAAAUUUUUAAUUUUAUUUUUAGUCGCAGUAAUUGAUAUUAUUUAUUUAAGAAAUUAAGAAAUAGUAAUAUUAUUUAAUAUUGGUAAAAUUUGUGCCAGCAACCGCGGUUAUACAUAAAAUGUAAAUAAAUCUUAUUGGUAAUAAUUAAUUUGUUAAGUUAGGUUAAGUUAAUUUGUACUAUAUUUAUUAGGUGAAAUUUUAAAUAUGGAUUAAGUUAAAUUUAAAGAUAAUGAAGUUAGUAAAUUUUAGUAAUAAACUAGGAUUAGAUACCCUAUUAUUUAGAAUGUAGGUUAAAAAUAUCUGAGUAGUAAUAGUUAUGUUCUUGAAACUUAAAAAAUUUGGCGGUAUUUUAAUCUAUUCAGAGGAACCUGUUCUAUAAUCGAUAAUCCACGAGGACUUUACUUAAACUUGUUUUUCAAUUUGUAUACCGCCGUUAUAGAUUAUCUUAUAAGAGAAUUAAUUUUCUUAAUUUUUUUUAAAAAGUAUAUCAGGUCAAGGUGCAGUUUAUGUUUAAGGAAGAAAUGGGUUACAAUAAAUUUAUAUUUAAACGGAGGUAGAAUUGAAAAAUUUUACUGAAGGUGGAUUUGAAAGUAAAAUUAUGUAUAUAGUUAAUUUGACUUUGGCUCUAAAAUAUGUACACAUCGCCCGUCGCUCUUAUUACUUUAUUAAUAAUAUAAAAUAAGAUAAGUCGUAACAUAGUAGAAUUACUGGAAAGUGAUUCUAGAAUGA